CGCCCUUCGGAGAGGGAGCCUGAGAGAUGGCUACCACAUCCAAGGAAGGCACCUGGCGCGUAAAUUACCCAAUCUUGAAACAAGGAGGUAGUGACAAUAAAUAACAAUGCUGGGUCUUUGUAGGUCUGGCAAUUGGAAUGAGAACAAUUUAAACCUCUUAUUGAGGAUCAAUUGGAGGGCAAGUCUGGUGCCAGCAGCCGCGGUAAUUCCAGCUCCAAUAGCGUAUAUUAAAGUUGUUGCAGUUAAAAAGCUCGUAGUUGGACUUGUGGAUGUUCUCAAGGCCCACUUGUUGGUACUGUUGAGUUUGUCCAUCCUUGAGUGGAAUCUGCGUGGCAUUAGGUUGUUGUGCAGUGGAUACUCAUCAUUUACUGUGAAAAAAAUAGAGUGUUUAAAGCAAGCUUAUGCUGCUGAAUAUAUUAGCAUGGAAUAAUGAUAUAGGACUUUGGUGCUAUUUUUUUGGUUUGAGCGUCAAGGUAAUGAUUAAUAGAGAUAGUUGGGGGUAUUUGUAUUCCACUGUCAGAGGUGAAAUUCUUGGAUUUUUGGAAGACGAACUACUGCGAAAGCAUUUACCAAGGAUGUUUUCAUUAAUCAAGAACGAAAGUUAGGGGAUCGAAGAUGAUUAGAUACCAUCGUAGUCUUAACCAUAAACUAUGCCAACAAGGGAUUGGCGGGGUCUCGUUAUGUCUCCGUUAGC
rnacentral:rRNA from 1 species